rnacentral:rRNA from 1 species
UACGGAGGAUCCGAGCGUUAUCCGGAUUUAUUGGGUUUAAAGGGUGCGUAGGCGGCCUUGUAAGUCAGGGGUGAAAGACGGUAGCUCAACUAUCGCAGUGCCUUUGAUACUGCAGGGCUUGAAUGUACUUGAGGUAGGCGGAAUGUGACAAGUAGCGGUGAAAUGCAUAGAGAUCCCCAAGAACACCAGUUGCGAAGGCGGCUGACUGGACACAUAUUGACGCUGAGGCUCGAAAGCAUGGGGAGCAAACAGG